ACCAUUACAAUCCAACUCAUUU
rnacentral:siRNA from 1 species